AUUGAACGCUAGCGGCAGGCCUAACACAUGCAAGUCGCACGAGUGGCGGACGGGUGAGUAAUGUCUGGGAAACUGCCUGGUGGAGGGGGAUAACUACUGGAAACGGAAGCUAAUAACGAAUACCAUCGGAUGUGCCCAGAUGGGAUUAGCUGGUUGGUGGGGUAAAGGCUAACCAAGGCGACGAUCCCUAGCUGGUCUGAGAGGAUGACCAGCCACACUGGAACUGAGACACGGUCCAGACUCCGACGGGAGGCAGCAGUGGGGAAUAUUGCACAAUGGGCGAAAGCCGGAUGCAGCCAUGCCGCGUGUAUGAAGAAGGCCUUCGGGUUGUAAAGUACUUUCAGCGGGGAGGCGUUACCCGCAGAAGAAGCACCGGCUAACUCCGUGCCAGCCGCCGCGGUAAUAC
rnacentral:rRNA from 1 species